rnacentral:rRNA from 1 species
UACGUAGGGGGCGAGCGUUGUCCGAAUUUACUGGGCGUAAAGCGCGCGUAGGCGGUCUCUUAAGUCUGGGGUGAAAGGUUCAGCGCUCAACGUGAACAGUGCCUUGGAUACUGGGGGACUUGAGUCUGGGAGGGGGCAGUGGAAUUCCUGGUGUAGCGGUGAAAUGCGUAGAUAUCGGGAGGAACACCGGUGGCGAAGGCGGCUGCCUGGCCUAAGACUGACGCUGAGGUGCGAAAGCGUGGGUAGCGAACGGG